CAAGGGGCAAGUAGAGUGGCAAACGGGUGAGUAACACGUGGGUGACCCGCCUUCGAGCGGGGGAUAACGUCCCGAAAGGGACGCUAAUACCGCAUAACAUCCUGCCUUUGAAGAGGUGGAGAUCAAAGCUGGGGAUCGCAAGACCCGGCACUUGAAGAGGGGCCCGCGUCUGAUUAGCUAGUUGGUGGGGUAACGGCCUACCAAGGCAACGAUCAGUAUCCGGCCUGAGAGGGCGGACGGACACACUGGGACUGAGACACGGCCCAGACUCCUACGGGAGGCAGCAGUGGGGAAUUGUUCGCAAUGGGCGCAAGCCUGACGACGCAACGCCGCGUGGAGGAUGUAGAUUUUCGGAUCGUAAACUCCUGUCGAAUGGGACGAACAGAUUGCGGGUGAACAGCCCGUAGUCCUGACGGUACCGUUAAAGGAAACCCCGGCUAACUCCGUGCCAGCAGCCGCGGUAAUACGGGGGGGGUAAGCGUUGUUCGGAAUUACUGGGCGUAAAGGGCUCGUAGGCGGCCAACUAAGUCAUACGUGAAAUCCCUCAGCUUAACUGGGGAACUGCGUGUGAUACUGGAUGGCUUGGAUUUGGGAGAGGGAUGCGGAAUUCCAGGUGUAGCGGUGAAAUGCGUAGAUAUCUGGAGGAACACCGGUGGCGAAGGCGGCAUCCUGGACCAAUAUUGACGCUGAGGAGCGAAAGCCAGGGGAGCAAACGGGAUUAGAUACCCCGGUAGUCCUGGCCCUAAACGAUGAAUGCUUGGUGUAGCGGGUAUCGAUCCCUGCUGUGCCGAAGCUAACGCA
rnacentral:rRNA from 1 species